AUGGAGAUGGAGGAGGCGGAUAAAGGGGAGGUCUUCGAGAGGAACAACAAGUCGAGGCUGGAUAGCCAUCCGGGGGCGGCGGCGGGGACGGCCUGCCGGCUCACGGACGACCUCAUCCUGGAGAUCCUCUCCCGCAUCCCGGCCAGAUCCCUCCACCGCUUCAAGUGCGUCUCCGUGCGCUGGCGCGACCUCAUCGCCGACCCCGCCAACCGCAAGAAGCUGCCCCAGACCCUCGCCGGCUUCCUCUACACGACCACCGCCGGCCGGAAUCGCCACCACUUCGCCAGCGUCUCCCGCGGCGCAGCCCCGUUCGACCCUUCCCUCCCUUACCUGCAGCCUAGCAAGUACAAGGACAUGGCUCAGGUGGACGCCUGCAAUGGCCUCCUUCUCUACCUAAGCUCCAGCAAGAACAUGGUGAACCCUUGGGCUUUGGCAGAGGACGAUUUCCGUUUUGUUGUGUGCAAUCCGGCCACUGGGAGGUGGGUGGAGCUGCCCCCUCAACCGCAGGCGCCGGCAGACAGAUUUAGAUAUAACUGUAUGGCAAGCCUAGCUUUUGAUCCGGCAGUCUCGUCCCAUUUCCACGUUUUUUGUUUUGAGGAGACCACUGUGGAAACGUACAUGACAGGAGUGAACGUCUACUCGUCGCGAACAGGAGCCUGGAGUCGCGGAGAUGGUGGGAUUGUUGAGAAAGUGGCGCUGUUCUUCUAUAGUAAGGGUGUCUUUGUCGGCGGUAUGAUGUACGUGAUUGGCAACCCGAAGGGCAUCAGCAACGAGCAUGUGCUCCUGGGGAUUGACAUGCAAGGUAAAGUGCGGAGGACUAUCCCUAUGCCGUACGGUCGAAGAUUUGGUACGAUUGGAUCGUCGCAGGGGUGCUUACUCUAUGCUGUAUCUUCCGUCGAUGAUAACAAUAAAAUCCUAUAUUCUGAGAUAGAACUCUGGUGCCUCAAGGAUUGUGACAGUAAAGAAUUGGUUCUGAAGCAUACUGCCAGCAUCGAUGAGCUUAUGAGCAUGACUGGGGAGAAGUACAGGGUGGUUGGGAUUCAUCCAGAUUGCGACACCAUUUUCCUGGUUUCACAUGGAGGUGAUACCUUGAGUCAUUAG
rnacentral:rRNA from 1 species